rnacentral:rRNA from 1 species
UACGGAGGGGGCGAGCGUUAUUCGGAAUUAUUGGGCGUAAAGGGCGCGUAGGCGGCCCGCUAAGUCAAAGGUGAAAUCCCUCGGCUCAACUGAGGAACUGCCUUUGAGACUGUCGGGCUUGAGGCCGGGAGGGGGUAGCGGAAUUCCCAGUGUAGCGGUGAAAUGCGCAGAUAUCAGGAGGAACACCAAUUGCGAAGGCAGCUCGCUGGGACGUUACUGACGCUGAGGAGCGAAAGCGUGGGGAGCGAACAGG